rnacentral:rRNA from 1 species
UGGGGAAUAUUGCGCAAUGGGCGGAAGCCUGACGCAGGCACGCCGCGUGUGUGAUGAAGGCCUUCGGGUCGUAAAGCACUGUUUGGAGGGAAGAAGAUCUGACGGUACCUCCCAAGAAAGCACCGGCUAACUCCGUGCCAGCAGCCGCGGUAAUACGGAGGGUGCGAGCGUUGCUCGGAAUCACUGGGCGUAAAGCGUACGCAGGCGGGUCAUCAAGUCGGGUGUGAAAGCCCGGGGCUCAACCCCGGAACUGCGCCCGAUACUGGUGGUCUUGAGUACGGGAGAGGGAAGCGGAAUUCCUGGUGUAGAGGUGAAAUUCGUAGAUAUCAGGAGGAACACCAGUGGCGAAAGCGGCUUCCUGGCUCGAUACUAACGCUCAUGUACGAAAGCGUGGGGAGCAAACAGGAUUAGAUACCCCCGUAGUCC